rnacentral:rRNA from 1 species
AAGAAUACAUGAUUCCCUANUACUGCGAGUGAAGNGGGAUAAGCUCAAAUUUUAAAUCCGUUAGGUUUUACCUGACCGAAUUGUAAUUUGAAGAAGCGUUUUCUACGUUUGAUCGGCCCAAGUCCUUUGGGAUAAGGCAUCAUGGAGGGUUACAAUCCCGUACGGCCGUGACAUUGCGCUCUACGAUACGCUUUCAAAGAGUCAAGCUGUUUGGGAUUGCAGCUUAAAAUGGGAGGUAAAUUUCUCCUAAGGCUAAAUAUUGGCGAGAGACCGAUAGCGAACAAGUACCGUGAGGGAAAGAUGAAAAGCACUUUGAAAAGAGAGUUAAGUAGUACGUGAAAUUGUUGAAAGGGAAACGAUUGAAGCCAGUCGUACCGACGAGAAAUCAACCUCUUCAAGUGCGGGACGGGUAUGCGAAGAGUUAAAACCUUCUCGUGCUCGCAACCUCGUGCUUUUGGGGCGUAUUUUUUCGUAUUUGGUAGGUUAACAUCAAUUUUGGUCGUUAUAGAAUGGCCGGAGGAAUGUAGCUUCGAUUUAUCGAAGUGUUAUAGCCUUUGGUAGAUGUAAUGACCGGGAUUGAGGAUUGCAACGAAUGCCCUUCGGGGCUAGCCGCCUGAUCUCUGAUGGUUACCUUGGGGUUGAAAGCUUGCUUACAGCUUCAAGAUUGAUCGUCAAAAGGUUAGAAUCGCGAUUAAAUAUUCGUUAAGGAUGUUGACGUA